UGCUAAGGCGGUCUCUGGCGUCGCCCAUUUUAUUCUUCAAACUUUGACCUCAAAUCAGGUAGGACUACCCGCUGAACUUAAGCAUAUCAAUAAGCGGAGGAAAAGAAACCAACAGGGAUUGCCUCAGUAGCGGCGAGUGAAGCGGCAAAAGCUCAAAUUUGAAAUCUGGCGUCUUUGGCGUCCGAGUUGUAAUUUGAAGAAGGUAUCUUUGGGCCCGGCUCUUGUCUAUGUUCCUUGGAACAGGA
rnacentral:rRNA from 1 species